CUUGAACGCUGGCGGCAUGCCUUACACAUGCAAGUCGAACGGCAGCACGGGGGCAACCCUGGUGGCGAGUGGCGAACGGGUGAGUAACAUAUCGGAACGUGCCCUGGAGUGGGGGAUAACUAGUCGAAAGACUAGCUAAUACCGCAUACGAUCUACGGAUGAAAGUGGGGGAUCGCAAGACCUCAUGCUCGUGGAGCGGCCGAUAUCUGAUUAGCUAGUUGGUGGGGUAAAGGCCUACCAAGGCAUCGAUCAGUAGCUGGUCUGAGAGGACGACCAGCCACACUGGGACUGAGACACGGCCCAGACUCCUACGGGAGGCAGCAGUGGGGAAUUUUGGACAAUGGGCGCAAGCCUGAUCCAGCAAUGCCGCGUGAGUGAAGAAGGCC
rnacentral:rRNA from 1 species